UCGAGGAACAUUAACAUAGCGUACCGUGUAUCAGUCGAUCGACAUGUGCUCCAAAAAGUCACCGCGAAUACUCUCGAUACAGAGUCACGUGGUAUUCGGUUACGUUGGAAAUAAAAGUGCAACAUUUCCAUUGCAGUUAUUAGGAUUUGAGGUAGAUGCAAUUAAUUCUGUUCAACUCUCUAAUCAUACUGGCUACAAGGUCUUUAAAGGUCAAGUACUAAAUGAUAAAGAUUUAGAGGACUUGGUGGAUGGCUUAGCACAAAACGAUUUAGACAAUUACACUCAUUUACUCACUGGCUAUGUUGGUUCUGCUUCAUUUUUGAAGAGAAUAGCAGGGGUGGUUCGCGCCUUGAAACGCAAAAAUCCCGAUCUCAUAUAUGUGUGUGAUCCUGUUAUGGGAGACGAUGGAAAAAUGUAUGUACCCGAGGCACUGAACGAAAUUUAUAAAAGAGAAAUAGUGCCAUUGGCAGACAUUUUAACACCAAAUCAAUUUGAAGUGGAACUACUAACGGGUAUAAAAGUCGGUACAAUACCUGAACUACGAAGUGCUAUAAAAGAAUUACAUAAAGCUGGUCCUCAAAUAGUAGCCGUCUCGUCAACGGAAAUUCAUAACAAAUUAACAGCAAUCUUCAGUACGAUAAAAGACAAUAAAGUAAUAAAAAUCGACAUACCAAAAAUACCAACUAGCUUCACGGGUUCCGGGGAUCUUUUCGCCGCCCUGUUUUUAGCUCACACAUACUUGCAAGACAGUAUGGAGGCCGCCAUCGAAAGGACUGUUAAUUCGCUCUAUUGCGUUCUAUUAGAAACUUACGAACAUUCCAAAGCAUGCCAAGAUAAGGAGUCGCAACCUGCAAAGAGGAUCGAGUUACGUUUGAUACAAAGCAAGAAUCACAUUGAAAAUCCAAAGAUGCAUCUACACGCUGUGCCUCUUUAACUCCGAUUUUGUUACAACUGUGUAUACCUUUUAAAAUAAGCAGAAACUGUUGUUAUCGAGAGUGUACAAAAUUAUUCGCAAUAAUUUUUCAACGUCAAACGUGGUACGAUGUUCAUAGAUUGUAGUUCUUGGAAAAGUAACUUGCAGGCGUAGGGCAUGGAAAUCGUGGAAACGCACGAACUGGAACGACAA